GACAGAGGGUGCAAACGUUGUUCGGAAUUACUGGGCGUAAAGCGCGUGUAGGCUGCUCGGAAAGUCGGGUGUGAAAGCUCUGGGCUUAACCCAGGAAGUGCACUCGAAACUCCCGAGCUGGAGUCCCGGAGAGGAAGGCGGAAUUCUCGGUGUAGAGGUGAAAUUCGUAGAUAUCGAGAGGAACAUCGGUGGCGAAGGCGGCCUUCUGGACGGUGACUGACGCUGAGACGCGAAAGCGUGGGGAGCAAACGGG
rnacentral:rRNA from 1 species